GCUCCUUUAAAGCAAGCAGGUUCUGCUUCUCUCCCUCCCCCCCCCCUUAGCGAGCUGAAAAUCUUUCCUGCUAUUUCCAGCAAAGCGGGAGAAGAGCCGCUGAGUGGGGAGGAGGGAGAGAAGCAGAACCUGCUUGCUUUAAAGGAGCC